UGGGGAAUUUUUGACAAUGGGCGAAAGCCUGAUCCAGCAAUGCCGCGUGUGUGAAGAAGGCCUUCGGGUUGUAAAGCACUUUUGUCCGGAAAGAAAUGGCUCUGGUUAAUACCUGGGGUCGAUGACGGUACCGGAAGAAUAAGGACCGGCUAACUACGUGCCAGCAGCCGCGGUAAUACGUAGGGUCCAAGCGUUAAUCGGAAUUACUGGGCGUAAAGCGUGCGCAGGCGGUUGUGCAAGACCGAUGUGAAAUCCCCGAGCUUAACUUGGGAAUUGCAUUGGUGACUGCACGGCUAGAGUGUGUCAGAGGGGGGUAGAAUUCCACGUGUAGCAGUGAAAUGCGUAGAGAUGUGGAGGAAUACCGAUGGCGAAGGCAGCCCCCUGGGAUAACACUGACGCUCAUGCACGAAAGCGUGGGGAGCAAACAGG
rnacentral:rRNA from 2 species